AUUGAACGCUGGCGGCAGGCCUAACACAUGCAAGUCGAACGAGUGGCGGACGGGUGAGUAAUGUCUGGGAAACUGCCUGAUGGAGGGGGAUAACUACUGGAAACGGUAGCUAAUACCGCAUACCAUCGGAUGUGCCCAGAUGGGAUUAGCUAGUAGGUGGGGUAAAGGCUCACCUAGGCGACGAUCCCUCGCUGGUCUGAGAGGAUGACCAGGCAAACGGGAACUGAGACACGGUCCAGACCCCCACGGGAGGCAGCAGUGGGGAAUAUGGCACAAUGGGGGCAAGGCUGACGCAGACAGGCCGCGUGGAUGAAGAAGGCCUUCGGGUUUGAAAGUAAUUUACGGGGGGAGGCGGUACCCGGAGAAGAAGCAACGGCUAACUCCGUGCCAGCAGCCGCGGGAAUAC
rnacentral:rRNA from 1 species